rnacentral:tRNA from 1 species
GCUCGGUUAGCUUAGUCGCUAGAGCAUUAGACUUAUAAACAGAGGGUCAAGGGUUCAAGUCCCUAAUCGCGUU